CUCGCUGGGACGCAACGAAGGGGUUAUUUAAAUGCUUCUGAAGUAUGGGUACCAGGUGGUGGGCCGAGGUUUGGUGUCUCCUGGAUGAUUACCUUAAACAAGUUACAUCCGAAGUCCAGCUACAAGGGGGGCAUCUACAUUUCACGCAGUUCCCCUACUUCUGUCCAAUCGACUUCUAAAAUUGAGUAUAGACAUUGUCUUAAACUAACCUUGCAGACAGAGGGUAAAAUUUUCAAACAUUUACUGUUCACUUGUUCAGAAUAUGUUUGUGCCAAGAUCUUUAUGAAGGGAACGAAAUAAACGGGCCUCACCGCCCUGGAGUUUAGUUUUACACAGAAAACACAAUAAUCGCUGGGGGAAAAAAGGGUGCAGAUGCCAAAAGAGAAAUAGGCAAGGGAUAUAAGCAGGUAAUUCACAAUAAAAGAAUAAUUGGUCAUAAAAGACAUGAAGAAAUAUCCUUAUUAGUAAUCGGGUAAAAAUAGAUUGAGAAAGUGGCAUCCUAAUCUGUUGAAUUGGCCAGAAUAAAGAUAGUUACAUGGGGGACAGGG